UCCUUUCUGAUGGAUGAUUGGAUAUCAGACCUAUCAUGCCAUGUUGGCACAUAUGUGGCGUGUGCAUGAGCUUUACUGCACACAUGUGCUUAUCAAAGCUCACAAAACACAUUAAGUGUUAGUUUCAAAAUGUGUUUGGCAAAGAGCAUGGGGAAGUUUUUCUUUAAUCAGUAGCUGAGGGAAUAUGGCUAGGUGGUGAUGGCAUUUUAGAAAGAAUUGGUAUAAAUACGAUCAGAAAUUUGUAAUUUCAAAGGGAGGCUUUUGAAAGCGGCGUCAUAAGACUAAAAAAAAAAAAAAAACAUCAAGGGCUUGUUUGGUAGACGUCUGAAAAUGAGUUCAUCACAUGAGAUUAUGAUUGUUGGUCAUUAAGAUUAUUUUUAAUCCUUACCAAAAUGGCAUAUGAUCUCUAAUACGUAAUUGCAAUUAACUAAGAUGAGAAGAACUCAUUUUUAGGCGUCUACCAAACAGGCCCUAAAGCUUUAAGCCCUUAAGAACUAUUUUGGGUGAUGCUCAAAAUUACUCUCCUUUAUUUGCUCGCUAUUUGAAAGUAGUAAUCAAUUCUGAAAGUAUUGUGCCAAAAUGUAAAUGACUAAGCACUCCCAUUACAAUAGUGAAGAUAUUUGAAUAGGCGGUUGUAUCUUACAUUUGGGAAAUGAUCUGGUGGCACACAUCAAUGGCUAACUUUGGCUGUUCUUAUCACUGUCAACGGUGAUGAGGAGCUGGCCCAAUCAAUCAUCAACAACGUUGUCGUCACCAUCUUAGAUUUUUCCUAGCAAAUUGGGAAUGGCUUUUAAAUGGUAGAUUGGCAAAAUACUGCAGUUGCUGCCCAUCAAACAUCAACCUUCCUCGUUUUUUCGGGGCUCUUGGAUCUGGCAACCAUAGAGGCUCACAUUGACACCACUCACAUGCCAACACGGCCCAAUCAAUACAAAAUGCAGGCCCACAACUCAUUCAACAUUUAACAUUUGUAAGUUUAAACACUGGCAAUGCAAAACUUUCAACCCAAGAUCAAAGCUCUUGAAGAGAGACUACACAGGCAAUCCGGGGCUGGUCUGACACUGUAGCCUACCUGGUUCUACCACUUCUUGUUGUUUCUCAGCACAUGUGUCAAUGGAGCUCAUGAAGCCGCCUCAAGUGCAGAAUCAUCUUUCUAAAGCGUUGCUGCUCUUUUCAAAUUUCUUUUUUUCUUUUUUUUUUUUAUAACAUAUAUCGAAGUCCUAUAAUUAUAUUCUUUGUUGGCAGACUGUUGAUCUGGCUUCAAAUAAUACGCUUCUUAUCUUCAAUUUCUUCUUGUCAUUGGUUAUUUUUCUUUGUCAGCCCUCUCAGGAUUAUCAAUCUACUGGUUGGUAUCUUCUUCAAAAUUUAUUUAUUUUUUCCAAAAGCAAGUGAUAUGUAGUUUUUUGUGUUACAUUCUGUUGCAUACUAUAUGUCCAUGUUAAUCAUUGAUCUUUGGUAAUAUUAUUCAUGCAUGUCUCUAUAUCAGUACAUGAGCCAACAUACGUCUCUAUCUCAGCAUUUCUGUGACUUGUGUGAUAUGGUGAUUUGUCUAAUUUCCCCAUAUUAGCUUGCAUCUCGAAAAUGAAACAGCUUAAAUUUUUUUGUUCACAGGCUGUAACUUAGAUACAGACACUCAUGUCGGUGUCGGCACUUCAAACUAAGCAAACCUGACAUACUACCGCAGCCACAGGGUUAUGCGAUGAUAUUGAAAGAUGCAUUGUUGUAUAAAUUUGGUUCAUACUAGUAACAGAAUUAGAAAGAUAUAUCAAUAUAAUAGAAUGACAUCCAGGCUACAAAAGUGAUAUGCAAAUAAUACCCAAAAAAGGAAAUGGAUAAAGUGAUGCAAAACAUGUGAACUUGACUAGCACAAGUCUUUAGUACAGGUGCAACGCCAUUCAGGUCACGUAAAUCUGAGCCCGAUGUGACCUGCUUUUCAUAUAAACUCACCUAGCAGGCCUCACUAUGGUGGCCUACAUGUCAAAAUCCUGCUGAUUAGAGAUCCUUACUGUCCAUACACAUGCAUUAAUAUAUUGAUGUUCUUUGUAGCUCAUGAGCUUUGAGAAGUGAUAUUUUUGCCAUGUGUUGCAUCUGUGGUACAGCCUUCUAGAUGAACCGCAUGGAUGACACAUGGUCAGGAAGAAGGCACAAGCUUCAUGGAUGGACCUUGAAGGGCAGGAAGAGGAAGUCCUAGAAGGCACGUAUGCUUCCAGUAGCAGCAAACUGGUUAUUAUACCAGCAGACAAAGGAUCAAAUGAUCAAUGCAGAGAUGCUCAGCGUAGAAUAUGCACAUCCCUUAGCUUAUGGCUUCUGUCAUUAAUGCUGCGUUUGGUUGUACCAGAUAUAAUGAAAUUUGGGGCAACCAAACACACCCUAAGCUACUUGGUUGGCAGUGAAGUAAAAGGACUACUUGACUGUCAAUGUGAAGAAUCUCUCAUCAGACAACAGCCAUGGAUCUUAGUUAGAGUUAGGGCCCUGAUGGCAACAUGUGGGGUGAAGCUGAGGGCAGAAAGAAGAGUGUUCCAGCAUUUAUCUUUUGAAGGCCACUGAAGUUCAAUUGCACACUAGCUUAAGGAAGUGAGUCAUAGUCACCAGGAACUUCCAUCACAUGAGAUAAUCAUGCUCACUUGUUCAUACAUGCUCCCCAUGAACUUAAGCUCCUGAAGCUUGGGUCCCACAACUGGUUCUUAGUUGGUGAUGGUAAUGAAGUUAUGGAAAUGAGAAGAAGCUGCAAGGAGUAGACAUGUCAAGAGAAGAUGGGUUAUGGUCUGUUUCCUCUUCAUACUAGGAAUGUUGGGCUUGAGCAUUGGUUGAAGUGGUUAGAGAAAAGGGGUGGAAGGCCUUUUGAAGCAUGGGAAAAAAAGAAAAGCCAUAACUAACUCAUGAAAAAAGAUAGGAAUGUUUUUGCUAAGGUGUGGAAUCCUAUGUAUGGAAAUUGAAUUUUGAUUAGAUUAGGAUUGUGCGUUUCUCUUCAUUACAGGUUUUGACUUCUCCCUUGCAAUCAUUUGGAAUAACAUCAAAGUCAUUGGCUUUGCCGCUUGCAUGCAUUCCCUCAUGAGUGCCCAACCCAUUUUGUUCAAAAUGGGCAUGUGGGUGUGACCUGUCGGGUGGCCCGCACCAUUGCAGUAGGCCCAGUGCACCGCCGCAGGACUCUGAUGUGUCAACUCACGACUCAGCAAGAUUUCAAGCCUAGUAUCUGAGAAACUUGUUGCCGCAAGUGACUCAACCAUGAUCUCACCAUUUUGAGGUGAGACUAUUCCCUGCGGAUGCACGCAUAUCAGGGAGGGAUAUCGAACUUGCGUCUGGGAGGAGCACACCCACGACGCUUGCCAUUCGCCCAAACCCCUUGCGGAUUUUGAAUUACUUGAUACAACAUUUUUAAAUAUUUAUUUAUCUUCGUAAUAUUUUCAAUUUAUAAUAAUUAAAUAUUCAGUUG